rnacentral:rRNA from 1 species
GGAUAAUCUGCCCUCAGGUGAGGAAUAAUCCCGGGAAACUGGGGCUAAUGCCUCAUAGGAGACGGGUGCUGGAAUGCUCUGUCUCCGAAAGGUCCGCCGCCUGAGGAUGAGUCUGCGUCCGAUUAGGUUGUUGUUGGGGUAACGGCCCAACAAGCCUUUGAUCGGUACGGGUUGUGGGAGCAAGAGCCCGGAGAUGGAUUCUGAGACAUGAAUCCAGGCCCUACGGGGCGCAGCAGGCGCGAAAACUUUACAAUGCGAGCAAUCGUGAUAAGGAAACCCUGAGUGCCUGUCAAUGCAGGCUGUUCUGGUGUCUAACACACACCAGGAGAAAGGGCGGGGCAAGACCGGUGCCAGCCGCCGCGGUAAUACCGGCUGCUCGAGUGAUAGCCACUUUUACUGGGCUUAAAGCGUUCGUAGCUUGGUCGUUAAGUCUCUGGGGAAAUCUUUUGGCUCAACCAAAAGGCGUCUCAGGGAAACUGACGAUCUUGGAACCGGGAGAGGUAAGACGUACUUCGGGGGUAGGAGUGAAAUCUUGUAAUCCCCGAGGGACGACCGAUGGCGAAGGCAUCUUACCAGAACGGCUUCGACAGUGAGGGACGAAAGCUGGGGGAGCAAACCGGAUUAGAUACCCGGGUAGUCCCAGCCGUAAACGAUGUGCGUUAGGUGUGUCAGUGACCACGAGUCGCUGAGGUGCCGAAAGGGAAACCGUGAAACGCACCGCCUGGGAAGUACGGUCGCAAGGCUGAAACUUAA